rnacentral:lncRNA from 1 species
UGUGAACCCAAUUAAUUUCAUCGAAGUAGACGUCAAUUACUUAACAUCGGCCGUUCAUUGAAGUCGCAAAAGUUAGAUAGCAUGUAGCUAUUGCAAGGAGCUACAAUUAUUAUACAAAGCUAAGUUGUUCAUUCACUUAACACAUACACAAAAUGCCUUAAAGCUAAUGAAACAUUAACCGUUGUCAAGCCGACCCUUUCCCUUUUGCGUUUGCAUUCGCAAUGCCUUUUCCCUUAUGGAUUGUCACAUUCACAGAAAUACGUAUUUCUUCUUCGUCGUUCUGUCAAACUUGAGAUUGGAACAUGCGGGCCAUAUUGUCAGAUGUUUCAUUCGCCACUUCUUCAGCCUUUGUAAUGCUAACGGUACUUGACUCACUAGUUGCUUCACAUUUUUCGCACCACUCCCAAAACCCGUACUUUAUACUGCAACAUUGAAACAUUUGCCUUUGUUAGCAGUCUCUUUUUCGACCACAAAAAACUUCUGAAACCCAUUGGUACACCGUGGACAUUGACGCUUUAUUGGGCAAUCGAUGAAGAAGUGUCCCUUGCUCCUGCACCCGCGACAUACUCCAGAAUUCUUACCCAUCAUUCUAAGAACGCAAACAUAGAGAAUUAUGAAUGAGCAUACCAUAAGAAAUGAAAUAAUACUCCUCAAAUUCCAUUCAACAGCAACUCGAACAGCAAGAAACAUUUCUCAAUGGAUAAAAUUCAACAGCAACUCAAAAGGCAGGGAACGCAACUCCAAAUGCAAGAAACAAUUCUCGUCAAAUUCACAGCAACUCAAAAUGCAAGAAACAGAUGUCCUAGGAGAAUUAAUCAAUCUACAGAAAGUUCAAUUUUAUUUUUUUUUAAAUAUUUCACAACAGAUGCACUUUUAAUGCAAUGAGUUCAGAGCAAUACAACAUAUACAAACUUGGAAAAUAUAUUUUCAUGGCCUGAUGCAAAGUCGGAUGACACCCAAAAACAUAAAUUUUAAAAAAUAGGGUGAAAUCACAUAAUAGAAUUAUUGGAGAACGAACAAUUCGCAUUAGCACUUUGAUUCGCAUAAUAUUGCAGAUAAAUCACUAAUUAAACCACACACUUGUCUUUUGAGUCGUAAUACCGUGUACGAAGUACGAUUUGUUGCACGCUUGAGGUGGGUCUUCGUUGUUUCGUGAUGGCCGAACUGUUCAGAUGGCAUUGGCUUCGUCGAACGGUGAAAUGUGGACAAUCGGCCGGAAUCGAAGAGUGUGCCGGAAGAAAACUUAGCAGCCAGCAAGAUUGAAUUUUCAGGGAAACGGUGUCGUCUUCUUGGAGGAUUUGAGAUUGGGAAAGUGAGGGGAGAGAGAGGGCUU